UCAGAAUUCAUUUUAAUGAAUAUAUUUUAAAUUCGAGAUAAAUUUAAAAUAUAUUAAAAGAUUUGUUUCGGAAGAAUAUUUGAUCACAGAGAUCAUACUUUUUUAAUCUCAUUUAUCUUUUUUUUUUCUUUUUUGAAAAAUCAUCGUAUGGAGAAUCUAAUAAGAAUAUAAUACAUAAGGAGAAGAAACACAAUGUGGAGCAUCGAUAUAUCCAUGAAAUAAGGGAGAAACCGACAGCUAUAUCGAUCCAUCCGUCGCCCGAUUGGCUUUUAUGUACACGCCGAAUUUCGUUUCCUGCACGACCCAAUGGCACGUAUUUCUCAGACAAGGGGCAAAAAUGAAAUGAGAACGGAUAAUAAAUGAGAGCUGGAAAGAGAAACGAACCUACGAUGACCUACUUUCGUUAUAGUUUCAUUAACUAUUCUCAUUUACAAAUAAAUUUGUGAGAAAAAAGGAAAAGAAAAAAAGAAGGAAAUGGAAAGAAGCGACUUCGAUUACAAAUGACAUUAAAUUAGUGUUUGCGGACGUGUACCAGAAGAAUAAUAGGGUUACUAGUGAUCAUAAUGAAAUCUCGUCUAAGCUAACGGGUCAUAGUUCAGCGAGGUCUCUCAGAGUUUGUAAUUAAUUGCGAUUAGCAAUGAAACAUCAAAACGGUGCCGAUAAAUUAACAAUGCCAUCGGUGCAAAACCAGUAACAAUGGAUUAAUUUUGAUUGUUGCAAUUUAUUGAAAUUAUCAGAUAUAUUGAUGUAAUAAUAAUAUCAAAUAUAUGAUGUAAUAAGAUCGAAUUUGAUCAUUGAAAUAAUACUGAUAAUUUGUAACUUGUGAUAAAACCAGUAAUAUUAAUUCAGAACCAAAUCAUAUUCAUAGAUUCAAACCAUAGAACCAAAUAUUUAUAUGGAACCAAAUCAUUUCGGUUUUAACUUUUUUAGAUGAAAUUCUAUAAAUAAGGAUAAAAUAGUAGAGGAAAAUACGUGAAAGAUGAAAUUGAUCAGGAGAUCGAUAGGAAAAUGAAUUAUUUUGUUCAGGAGGGAAUCUGAGUUAUUCUUGAGAUGGAUCGAAGUUUCGUUUAAUUUUUGAAUGAUAUAGGGUGCAUAAAAGCGAAGAAUUCUCUUCUCAUGAUGGGAAAUUGUUCCUUGUGUAUUGCAAUUGCGGUCAGUCACUUGUCUCGUCAUUAAUUUCACAUUAUUACUUCAAUGUGCAAUGUAUCGAGUGCACGUUCGAACAGAUUAUCGAUUCUUUCGUCGUAUAUGGCAAAUGACAUUGAAACAUAGAUAUAUACUUAUAGAAAUAUAGUAGUAAAUAUCUGGAAAAUAUAUUUUAUAUUUUUUCAUAUAUUUUUAUUUUCCGUUGAUUUUAUAUUAAU